AGGGAUAAUUAAGCACCUAGCUGGAACGGGAACAAGGGAAGCUCCUGAGGGGUGUGUUGUACCCCAUUUGUCUCCAAUGGCUGUGAUAUCUACCAUGCAGCGGGAAACCUCAUCAGCUGUAAAGGCGCAAGAAUUGUCAGGGCAGAAUUCGUCUUUUAUUAGGCUGCCCAAUUAAAAAACUUUGCAUGAGUUGUCUUCCAGACUCACUCAUCUAUUCAGCAAACAAGAGGACAUUUUUAAAAAUUAUUCAUGAGUUUCCCUGCAUUAUUGGAGAUGUACCUAAUUAAACUUUUCUCCAUCAA